rnacentral:rRNA from 1 species
UACGGAGGAUCCAAGCGUUAUCCGGAAUCAUUGGGUUUAAAGGGUCCGUAGGCGGUUUAAUAAGUCAGUGGUGAAAGCCCAUCGCUCAACGGUGGAACGGCCAUUGAUACUGUUAAACUUGAAUUAUUAGGAAGUAACUAGAAUAUGUAGUGUAGCGGUGAAUGCUUAGAGAUUACAUGGAAUACCAAUUGCGAAGGCAGGUUACUACUAAUGGAUUGACGCUGAUGGACGAAGCGUGGUAGCGAACAGGA